rnacentral:rRNA from 1 species
AUUGAACGCUGGCGGCAGGCCUAACACAUGCAAGUCGAGCGGAUGAAGGGAGCUUGCUCCUGGAUUCAGCGGCGGACGGGUGAGUAAUGCCUAGGAAUCUGCCUGGUAGUGGGGGAUAACGCCCGGAAACGGGCGCUAAUACCGCAUACGUCCUGAGGGAGAAAGUGGGGGAUCUUCGGACCUCACGCUAUCAGAUGAGCCUAGGUCGGAUUAGCUAGUUGGUGGGGUAAAGGCCUACCAAGGCGACGAUCCGUAACUGGUCUGAGAGGAUGAUCAGUCACACUGGAACUGAGACACGGUCCAGACUCCUACGGGAGGCAGCAGUGGGGAAUAUUGGACAAUGGGCGAAAGCCUGAUCCAGCCAUGCCGCGUGUGUGAAGAAGGUCUUCGGAUUGUAAAGCACUUUAAGUUGGGAGGAAGGGCAGUAAGUUAAGACCUUGCUGUUUUGACGUUACCAACAGAAUAAGCACCGGCUAACUUCGU